CGGGGAAUCACUGAGCGGACGGCUGCUAGGAGAUGAAUAAGACUUCAGAGAAUUAUGAAGUUGAAACCACAACGUGGAAGACACCUGGGGUUGACAAACGAGUCAUUGGAGACGCGCUUCCUAGGAGAGCUGUGUGACCAGGAACACCUAGAGUAGUGUAUUUGCUUUGUUAAAGAGUGACUUGUAUGAGAGAGAAAUCUAUUUUCC
rnacentral:lncRNA from 1 species